GACAGAGGGGGCGAGCGUUGUCCGGAGUCACUGGGCGUAAAGCGCGCGCAGGCGGCAACCUUAGUGUCGUGUGAAAGCCCCCGGCUCAACCGGGGGAGGCCAUGGCAAACUGGGUCGCUCGAGCUGCGGAGAGGCCCCUCGAAUUGCCGGUGUAGCGGUGAAAUGCGUAGAGAUCGGCAGGAAGACCAAGGGGGAAGCCAGGGGGCUGGCCGCAGGCUGACGCUGAGGCGCGACAGCGUGGGGAGCAAACCGG
rnacentral:rRNA from 1 species